UACGUAGGGUGCAAGCGUUGUCCGGAAUUAUUGGGCGUAAAGAGCUCGUAGGCGGCUUGUCGCGUCGACUGUGAAAUCUCAGGGCUCAACUCUGACAUUGCAGUCGAUACGGGCAGGCUAGAGUUCGGUAGGGGAGACUGGAAUUCCUGGUGUAGCGGUGAAAUGCGUAGAUAUCUGGAGGAACACCGGUGGCGAAGGCGACGUCCUGGACCGGCAUUGACGCUGAGGCGCGAAAGCCAGGGGAGCAAACGGG
rnacentral:rRNA from 1 species